UACGGGGGGAGCAAGCGUUGUUCGGAUUUACUGGGCGUAAAGGGCGGGUAGGCGGCCACUGCAAGUCGGUUGUGAAAUCUCCGGGCUUAACUCGGAAAGGUCAAUCGAUACUGCAGGGCUAGAGUGCAGAAGGGGCAACUGGAAUUCUCGGUGUAGGCGGUGAAAUGCGUAGAUAUCAGGAGGAACACCAGCGGCGAAAGGCGGCGCU
rnacentral:rRNA from 1 species